rnacentral:rRNA from 1 species
CCUACGGGGCGCAGCAGUGGGGAAUAUCGGACAAUGGGCGAAAGCCUGAUCCAGCAAUGCCGCGUGUGUGAAGAAGGUCUUCGGAUUGUAAAGCACUUUCGACGGGGACGAUGAUGACGGUACCCGUAGAAGAAGCCCCGGCCAACUUCGUGCCAGCAGCCGCGGUAAUACGAAGGGGGCUAGCGUUGCUCGGAAUGACUGGGCGUAAAGGGCGCGUAGGCGGUUUAUGCAGUCAGAUGUGAAAUCCCCAGGCUUAACCUGGAACUGCAUUUGAGACGCAUAGACUAGAGGUCGAGAGAGGGUUGUGGAAUUCCCAGUGUAGAGGUGAAAUUCGUAGAUAUUGGGAAGAACACCGGUGGCGAAGGCGGCAACCUGGCUCGAUACUGACGCUGAGGCGCGAAAGCGUGGGGAGCAAACAGGAUUAGAUACCCCGGUAGUC